rnacentral:lncRNA from 1 species
ACGAACACUAGUUUAAACCAAGGCAAUUGAAACUGUGCUUUUAUGGUGUAUUGAGCUGUUUUAAAGUUGCCUGGCAUCAGAACAUGACCAUCUUAAGCUGUAAUGUUAGAAACCAAUGCAUAAACACUAAAACAUCUUUUUUUAGCUUUUCAGGUCAUAAGUACACUAGUUUAAACCACGGCAUAUGCAACUGUGCUUUUAGGGUGUAUUGACCUGUUUUAAAGUAUUCUGGCAUCAGAACAUGAUCAUUAGAGGCUGUUCUGAUUGAAACCAAUGCAUAAACACUAAAACAUUGUUUUUGAGCUUUUCAGGUCAUAAUGUGGUAAAUUCUGUUCCUCCUAUGGAGUUAUUUCUGCCCAUUGCAACAAAUGUCAAGUUGACCGUGGUGUCAGAUUGGCCACUAAAACAAAUAAACUGCUGCAGCUGAGUAAACAUGGACUUUCGAUGGACACGUAGGCACUUGCUGGUUGCAUAAACAGCACAGCUUAAAAAGUGGGCAUUGGGAGAUGUUUCUUAGAGUGCUUCGCAGAGGGUCUGCUGCAGACACCCAGCUGACCUUUUUCGACCUCUCAGUUCUUUCUGCAGAAGAACAAGCGGAAUGGCGUCACGAACACAGGCGUGAGGAGCCGUGUCCAGAACCAACAUUUGUCCGGACUGGCCCGGACGCACGACCGUCGUCAUCAUUGAAGGUAAAUAGCGCUUAAAGCUUUUACAUGACGAUUCUCUGUGUUCGUGACAGUGUGAGCAAAUGUUGGUAAGAUUAGAGAAAUCUGAUCAUUAAAUUCUGAUUUGGCUGCUUCUAGUAAAGUAUCUGUGUGGGAGAGACAAAGAGAGGCGGUGGAGAAUUUACCUGUGCCUAUAUUGCUGUAAAUAGCUGCUUUGCAUAACCAACUGCUGUGUGUGUAUGUGCUAUCUUGCGCUUGGGGAAAAAUGACAUGGCCUAUUGACCUCUAGAAGUUACGUAGGUUAACGUGAGGCAGACGACGUUGGGAAAAUCUAAAGUAUGGGCGUUGUAGUCUGCAUUCGGAUAAAAUAAAUUUAAGGCUGUGUAAGUUCUGUGUCGACGC